rnacentral:tRNA from 1 species
UCUGUGGUGGUCCAGUGGUUAAGACUUCAUACUUGCAAUGAGGGGGCCCAGGUUCGAUACCUGGUCAGGGAA